AGCCUCCUGUCAGCCAUACCGGGGAGGGUGGUUCGCAGAAGGCCCUAUGUCUUUUUCCCGUUUUUACAGUUCGGAAUCGGAGGCUCAGCAGACCGUAAGGUUUUUCUACAUGAGUGGAGAAGGUAGAUAUUGCAAGUAGAAGAGAUACAACAUUUUUUUAGGAUGUCUGAAGAUGAAGAAAAAGUGAAAUUACGCCGUCUUGAACCAGCUAUUCAGAAAUUUACUAAGAUAGUAAUCCCAACAGACCUGGAGAGGUUAAGAAAGCACCAGAUAAAUAUUGAGAAGUAUCAGAGGUGCAGAAUCUGGGACAAGUUGCAUGAAGAGCAUAUCAACGCAGGACGUACGGUUCAGCAACUCCGCUCCAAUAUCCGAGAAAUGGAGAAGCUUUGUUUGAAAGUCCAAAAGGAUGACCUUGGACUUCUGAAGAGAAUGAUAGAUCCUGUUAAAGAAGAAGCAUCAGCAGCAACAGCAGAAUUUCUUCAACUCCAUCUGGAAUCUGUAGAAGAACUUAAGAAACAAUUUAAUGAUGAAGAAACUUUAUUACAGCCUUCUUUGACCAGAUCCAUGACUGUUGGUGGCACAUUUCACACUACUGAAGAUGAAGCUGAUCCUCAGAGUAUGACUCAGAUAUAUGUGUUGCCUGAAAUUCCUCGAGAUCAAAAUGCUGCAGAAUCAUGGGAAACCUUAGAAGCGGACUUAAUUGAACUUAGCCACCUGGUCACUGAUUUCUCUCUCCUAGUGAAUUCUCAGCAGGAGAAGAUUGACAGCGUUGAAGACCAUGUCAGCAGUGCUGCUGUGAAUGUUGAAGAGGGAACCAAAAACUUGGGGAAGGCUGCAAAAUACAAGCUGGCAGCUCUGCCUGUGGCAGGUGCACUCAUCGGAGGAGUGGUGGGGGGUCCGACUGGCCUCCUUGCAGGCUUCAAAGUGGCAGGAAUUGCAGCUGCACUUGGUGGUGGGGUGUUGGGCUUCACAGGUGGAAAAUUGUUACAAAGAAAGAAACAGAAAAUGAUGGAGAAGCUCACUUCCAGCUGUCCAAAUCUUCCCAGCCAAACUGACAAAAAAUGCAGUUAAAAACCAAACUUCAGUAUUACUGGCACCAACAUGUCUAUCCUUUGCUGCUGUUGGACACUCAGUCAGCUUUUGGAACAUGAUUAUAUCAAAAUAGUGACUAUAGAUGCUCAAGUGGGAUUGAACUGUGGAUAUAUUUUGUUUGCUGGGAUGUUAAUGGGGAUGUUAGAGAUUGAGGAGCCUGGACUGAGGGUGUACAGUGUUUGUCAGGUAAAGUUUAAGGACUGCCAGGGAACAGAUUUUUUACCUGGAAAUGUGAAAACCCAACCAUAACUUUGAUAAGGACUUGUGAUGUGUGAACAUGUUGGGUUACGGAAGGAUAGUUUUCAGAAUAGUUUCUUCCAUGACCCUGACUUGGAGACUCCAAGGCUAAGCAUAUUGUAAUAUGCUUCUUUAUCUCCUAAAUAUAGAUUUUUUAGGCAUUUUAGCAGAGAAAAGAAUGGAAGUUCAGCAGCUUUUCGUAUCAAAUAGGGAGAUCGGGAUCUAGCAAGGUGCAUGAGUAAACUGCAUAACGGAGUCCAUUUGGUGAGCCCUACUGCAUUUUGGUCUAAGAAAAUUUUCAAGUGAAGGAAACAAAUAGUGUAAGGAAAUAGAAAGGCCCAACUUCUCUUUCAGAUAUCUUAAUUUAUGACCCUGGCUUCUCUGAACUCUUUUUUCUGCCUCUCUGUAAAUAAAGAACACAGAGUCUCAAGUGGUAGACUUAUAAAGCCAGUCACUAAGCUUGCUCUGUCAGCCCGUCUCUUAACACCUCAAAUAUCUAGUCCCCUCUGCCUUCCCUCCCUUGUAAUUUUGAAAAGUUCUUUGACUUACGGGGUGAAUUCUACCCAUGUGUAAUGCAGACUUCUCUGAUAAUCUGUUUUGGUUUUUUUUUUUUUUUUUUUUACAUCUUUAUUAGAGUAUAAUUGGUUUACAAUGAUGUGUCAGUUUCUGCUUUUUAACAAAUGUUUGGUUUUGUUGUUUUGGGGGUUUUUUUUUUUUUUUGGUAUUGGCUGCCAUCUUUGUUCAUCCUCUACUGUAACCUCUAGGUAAAAAAGAAAGUGAGAGAAAGAGAGGUGUCGAUUUCCAAAUACUUCCAAUGCUAUUAGACUUUGAGCUAAAAAAUAAGGAAGGGGGGAACACCAGAUCAUUUAUUGGGGCAUCUUACAAUUUCCGGGGGCUUAUGUACUUGCCUUGCAGGGAGUGUUUGACCCUAAGUCUCUUCAGCUGGCACUUGGAGGAGCUAAGAACUAGCUUUCUACCUCACUUCUGUUGCUACCAUCCUUUUCCCUAGGCUUUGCUAUCUCCUGUGAUUCCUUCACUUUGCACAGCUGCUGUUUCUUCCCAAGAAUGGCAUUCAUGCUUGCCUUUUCUCACAUUCAAGGUUGAUGAUGGACAAAGCCUCAUGCCAAGACUCAGUCCUGGUGGAGGAUUUGUGGUGCUAAUCUCAACACUUGACAUUGACAGCAAGCAUGGCUCUCCCCAACCCACUGUCUAUCUCAAAUAGCAGAAAAGUUUUAAAUUUAGAAAAAAAGAACUUAAGAUUAUAUAGGCAGCCUCAUCCUGUACCCUCAACUGAUUUGAAAUAGGAAGGAACCACCUUUUGCCUUAUUUAUUUUCUGAGGACAGAGGAAAGGGCACCUACACCACAGAAGGUGUGAACUCUCCUCUUAGGAGCCAAAUGGAUUCAUCAAGUAGUUGAAUGGUUUAUCACUUCUCUCUUGCUGAGUUUACUCUUAAUAACUUUUAUUGAUUGCUACCUUUUACUUCUAUAUCUAAUCUAAAGAGAUCUUUCUCUUUCUUACUUUUUGCUUCUCACCAGUGAAUUCCAAUGAGGCAACACACCAUUUCUCAUUGUUCUUAAAUAACUGGAAAACAUCAAGUAUUGCUACCUGCUGACUCAUAUCUUUAAUAUAAUACCAAGAAGGAAGUACUUUGAGUAAGUGUCAGAUUCUGAUCCAGUAUUUGAUAUGUGAUAUUUAUCCCAACCUUUAAGGUUGGGAUAAAUACUUUUGGACUCCUCCUUUUUAUAUUUUCUGAUCCUUGCUGUCCCUUUAACACAGGGCAUUCAAACCAGAAUGAGGAUCAGAAUUGCCCAGGGCGCUAAUUUAAAACAAGACUGCUAAACUUCAGUCCCAUGGGUUCUAAUAAUAGCCAAUCUGGCCUGGUCAGCCAAAAUUAUAAAUUUAAGAUACAGUUAUAUCAAGAUUCAGCUGUAUCAUUGAAUUCUGCAAUUUCUAGUAUUCUACCCUUCAGCCAACCUAAAAUUCUUAUUCUGCCAACCUAAAAUUGGCUAGCUUACCAUCUUAACAGCACUAGGGACUCAUUAUACUGUCAGGCUGGUUUUACUUCAAGACAUGAAGGAGAAAAGAGGCCUGUUAUUGACCCUCACAGUUUGUUUUGGGAGCUCUCCUUUUUACUGAGCCAGUGUGGGACAUCACUGUAUGUGCUCAUAUAGGCCUUUGAUUUUUUUUUGUUUGGUUGGUUUUUUUUUUUGGUGGUACGUGGGCCUCUCACUGUUGUGGCCUCUCCCGUUGUGGAGCACAGGCUCCGGAAGCGCAGGCUCAGCGGCCAUGGCUCACGGGCCCAGCCACUCCGCGGCAUGUGGGAUCUUCCCGGACCGGGGCACGAACCUGUGUCCCCUGCAUCGGCAGGCGGACUCUCAACCACUGCACCACCAGGGAAGCCCUAGGCCUUUGAUUUUUACUACUCAUCAGGAUUUGAAUAUUACUCUAACAGUCUUCAUGCUUAGGCAAGUUACAAUCCUUUUUAAAAGUUUUAUAAUUUAAAAUUAUUUAGAAAUUGUAUUUAAUUUCCCCAUAACAGAACCUAAUAGCCAACUUUUUGUAGAAAUUCUGGAUGUGCUUAAUCAACUAUAAAUGAUAUACCUAUAAACUAUAAAGUGUUUAGAAGUAUAAAUUAGUCAGUAUAACACAGAAACCAAUCUUAAAGUUGAAUUUAAUGCCCUACAGUAUCAAAUUUAUCUUCUCUGUGAUUCAUGUCUUAUAUUUACUGCAACAAGUUAGAAGGUAAGGAACACUUUAAGUUCUUAAAAUUUACAGGGUCUCAUUUGGAUAAAGCCAGCACUCCUAAAGCCUUUUUAAUGUAAUAAUCUGAGAAUUUCUCUGUAGAGCAGAGACUUUGAAGCUUUUUGGUUGUAAUCCACAGUAAAAACUGCAUUUAUAUCAAAACUCAGUAUGUGCAUUAUGGAACAAUACUUGCCAUUAUGUGCAGUGUACUCUGAUGUUUUUUAUUGUUUCAGUUUUUUAAAUAUUCUAGUUGUAACCUACUAAAUUGAUUUCAUAAUCUACCAAAGGGUUUUUUGACCCUUAGUUUGAAAAAAAAAACAAAACACCCUUGUAGAGGAACUGAUAUUUAUGGAGUAUUUUCUGUUUGCCAGGCACUUCACUAGGCAUUUUACAGGUAAGGAAACUGGGUCUCAGAGAAGGUAAAUAAUUUGCAGAGGGUUAUUCAUCUACAAAAGGGUGAAGCCAAGAUGUAAACUAGGUCUGUUGAACUACAAAAACUUCUGUUACUCUCAUACUGUGUUGCUUCUGUAUAUUAAAAUUGAGAUGGGCUAUUCACUCUGCUUCACCCAAACACCCAUAUAUUCUGUAAGGCAGGCUUGCUUUGAAAUUACACAUGCCAUUCAUUUGCACUUUUCUUAAAUCUUCUGUUUCCUCACCAAAUGGCCAGCAGCCUCGAAGUUUUUAAUGGUGGCCAAUGCAGAAGGUACGUAGUGCUGAAUUUGGUCCUUAGACUAUAAAAUUAAUAGUGUUUCCAUCUCACCCACACAUCCUACAAAUUUCCUUACAUUUGUGAGUCAUAGCCAUCACUUAAGCAGUGCUUUUUAUAUUGAAUUUUAAAAUAAACUUUAAUAUUUUUUAAAACAAUCAUAACUCAUAGAAUCAAAUGAUUAUCCUUUAAAGUGGUACCCUUGGGAGGCCAUGCACUUACUGUAGUGAUGCUAGAAUUACUGAGAGUAUUUUUGAAACUCUUCUUUUGGAAUUGCCUCUAAAGACAUUUUACAAAUCACAUUAAAAAAGCCAUCUCAGUGUUUAUCAGUCAUAGACUAUGCUCCCUUGUCCUUAUGACCUCUUCUCUCUUCCUUCUUCAGUUUUGCUUUUCUUCUGCUGAUUUAGCUCUGCUACCCACCUAAGCUGGAGUCAGUAACUUAAGAAGCCCCAAAAAAGGGGUGUGCUGGCCAGAGUUCCUGGAGCAAGAACUUUCAGUUUAUACUGAAGCCGAGUUCUGUAUAGGGAGAGUUCUGCGAAUCCAAAAACCUUCCUCUGUGGGCUGCCUGCCUGCCCGUUAGUGCCCUAAAGUAGUUUGCACGGGAGUAAGGACUGAAUACUGGCGUUAUCUAUCAAUCACAAGAAACUGUACAUAAAAUGUACAACAUUUUUCUCCAGUGAAAGUCACAGAAGCCAAACCAAGUCAUUCUUCGUGUUAACUUAAAAACGGAAAAGUCAUUUUCAGGGUCCCCCUUGCCCUUCGUUGCUGCCACAUGAAAUCUUUGGGAGGAAGGAUGAAGAAAAGCACAGGGAAAUGGUUCUCCUGUGAGAUGGGACAUUUUCUCAUGAUAAAGUAUAACAUGGCGGUGGCUGUCAGGUACUUAUGAACGCUAGAAACUCUUUAAGUAGUCAGAGGCCUAAUAAAAGGUAGGGAAGCUUCCCCCUAGCCUAAAUUAACGUGAACAGUUCAGGUUCUGUUUGUGUUUUUAUUAACAUUUCAUGUUGUUUCUAACCAGAUGUUCUCAACUAUUUAUGUUCAUUAAUUUGACACCAUUUUACAGAGAAACUUAUUGGGUAUUGUAAACAAUCAAUGGUAAAAGAUCCACAUAUAGUCCAUAUUACUGCCCUCAAAGAAAUUAUUUAUUGUGGGAGACAAGAAAAAUGUCUGUGCAAUAUUAACAAAAGAAAUAUAUUCAUAUAAAAAUGUAAAAGGUGUCAAAGGCAAAUGAUUUGCCCAAGAUUAAAGCUAGUUAGCACAAAAGCUAGAAUUAUAACCAUGGUCUAAGAAAAAAAAAUCCACAAAGUAAUUUAACUGAGUUUGUUACGCCAUAUCAGGUUGCCCGCUGAAGCUUGUGGUCUUUCAGACCAGCUUUAACAUUCCAAAUCAUUCAACAGCUAUAGUGGAAAGAGAAUUGGAUGGGGAAUCAGGAGAUCAGAGUUUUACUUGUGGCUUUGUCUCUUAUAGUAAGCUUUUACUCAGGCAUGGCUGCUUUCUCCCAUUUUAGCCAGGGAUUCGCCAUUCUUUAUAUCUAUCCUCUUACUGGGUCUUGUUAAUUGAAUAUUAGUUGCAUUCAUUUCUUAAAUAUAUUCAUAACCAUCACUCUAGUAAAAGAGUUUAUUACCUCACAUCCCCUACCUCAUCUUCCCCAACUUUAGGCCAUUCCUCACAUCAUUGCCACAAGAACUGCCUUUCAUUUUUCUGCUGAAAUAUUUUCAGCAGAUCCUGUUGAAUACUUGGUAAAGUUCAGCCUUCCAUAUACUGGCCCCAGCUUUGUCUCUUCAGACUCACUACUCAACCAUCUGACAAUGCCACUGAAAAUCAGACAUUCCACAAGAAUGAUUUUAAGCUUUUUCUAUGGUGAAGGUACAAACUGGUAAUAAACUAUGUUUACGUUUUUUUCCAGACUAAAGCAAUUUCUGUAAUACUACAUUUUACAAAACUAGUCAGCUGAGUUUUGUUUAAGCUCUUGAACAAGUCUAGAAGUUGUAUCCUAAGGAGAAGAAACCUUUUGUCCCCUCAGAGGAAAUUACAUCCAAUUUCUUAACCUCCAAAACAAUGUCAGUCUUGUCACCUGUACAUUGGAUAGCCAAAGCAUGAAGAUUUUACUUCAGCAGCAUAGAUACUCCAGACUUGAAUGGACCAUUGUCCAGCUCCUGUGAGAAACUUGACUAAUAAAUAUUUGAGGAAAUUACUCGAGUACAUACAUGUUAUCCAUACAUUUCUCAAGUAUUUGAGAUUGUCUUUUAUUAAGGUUAAUCACUAAAAAAGAUGUUUGCCAAGGUUUCUUUAAUUAACCCCCUAAAGAUGUUUUCCAUUUUAUUGUUAAAACCCUUGGUGUUAGCAAGGUUCAGCACAAAAGCCCACUGGUAAGAAUUUCUACAAAUUCUGUAAAGCUUACUGAAUUCGCUUAUUAUGUUGCUGAGUGGUGCUUAUAUGAGGAAACAUGCAAUAAAUUCAUUCAGCAAACGUUUAACUGAAUGCCUGUUGUAUGUUGAGUGUCAGUGCCAUACGUAGAAAAAUAUUAGACGUGUAGGAUCUACCCAUGUAAACCAUUCAGCUAAUGAAUUCAGAUACUGAAAGCAAGUAAAUCACAGUAAAACAUGGUAAGUACCCUAAAAGAGGAGAGCAAAGUAAUAUGAGGACACAGAGAAUGGAGCGACUCUCUGCCUGGAAAAGAAGGGGAAGGCUUUGUGGAACAUGUGGUAUUUGAACAGUACUCUAUAAAGAAGAAUCUGCCUGACUGAAGACCAGGUUUGUGAGCUUUCAAGUGGCAGAGGAAUUGCUCGUGCAAAGGGUUUGGGUUCAAAACAUGAACUAAUAUUCAUGUUUUAGUGUGCUUAGAGAAAACAAAGGAAUUGAAUGUGAGUGAUGAAGCUGGUUAGAUGAAAAUACAGGCUAUGGUAGUUUUCAUACGUGUAUGUGUAUAUGUAUUUAAUAUGUAUAUAUUUUUGUAUAUAUUUAAUAAUUCUUUGUUUAAAGGGAUUAAUGUAUUGCUUUGUGUCAAGUAAGACUGUUAUAAGCCUCUGAGUUCUUCGUUUUGCCUUCGUUGCCAGAGAAGUUAGUAAUAAACCUCACAUUUGCCUGGACUCUUGGUAUAUUUGGCAUAUUUGCUUUUCUUUCCCACAUGUAAGAAUGAUUUGUGCUUUCUUGCCUCUGCUGUAAGAUCCCCUGCUUGACAUUGAAUGCCUGCUUUCUUCCUAUCCUGUUAUUCAUUCCAUAAAUAUUUAUUGAAAACCCACUGAGAAAAUAGUCAUGAAAUUUACUUUUGCCUUUUAGUGUCCAAGACCUUCAUGGUCCAGUUUUCCAUCUCUCUAUGAAUAUUUCUUGACAACUGCAAUUCAGUGGCUUCCAUUUUCACUUGGGGCUAAUUCUGCAAUGUUUUACAACUUCAUAGGAAUGAAUGAAGCAAAAGAAGAAAUCUGGAUAACAUCUCUAAGACUUGGAAGUCAUGAAUUGAAAA